ACUGCAGUGAUUGCUAUGUAUGCUAAAUGCAUAUACUUUAAAACUGCAAGUACUAUGUUACAAGAUAUGGAAGUUGGUGAUGUGGUUUCUUGGAAUUCGAUGGUUGUUAAGUGUGCUAGAGAAGUAAAGCAGUGUAGAUCAAACAACCUCGUUCUUGAACCAUCCUAGUUAAAUCAACAAUCUUUUCUUUUUUUUGUUAAUUUUAUUUUCCAACUUUUAUGUUAUAUCUAUAAAAUUUAGGAAUUUUAAUUUAAAAUCAACGGUUAAAUGAAACUAAUAUCAUCACAGUUUGGUAUAAUCCAUUGUUCUAAAAACGUGUUCUGCACGGCCGCGUACUCGCUGGAAAACCGUAAGUCAGCUGGUCACCACCGCGAUUUGAUACUAUUUGCUCAGUUAAUCACCAAAAUUUAUAAGUUCAUUGCUUUAUAGAUUUUAAAUUUGAUAUCACAUUCUAAGUUACGAUUUGUAUUAUUUAAACCAAAACUUACGAAAUUAAUACGAAAUAGACUGAAACUAAAAAAAAAAAAAAUAAUAGAAAACAGCUACAGGUUUCGCAUGAAGAAGGUGGAAGACGAGGGUAAUUUUGUCAAUUACCAUUUUAUUUAAUAUAAUUCUAAAAAAUAUUGUCCAAAAUGUUCAAUGUGACCGUGUUGGGUAGGCUAAUUAAGCUCAACAAAGGCUACUACACCACGGAUCCAAGAUGUGAUACUUAAUCUUAUUUAAUAUAUAAUCAUAUACUUAUUUAGAAAUCCUAAAAUAACUCCAAUUAAUCUCCGUAUAAUCUCUGAUUAAUUGAUUACGCGCUAGGUCCUACCCAGCCGCACACAUAACGCCUGGUGUAGUUUCGAACUGAGAGUAUAAUAUAUGUUAUUGGAUUGUAGAAUAUAAUAUUCUUAAUCGCAAUACUUGGAAUUUCUCUAGAAAAUAUAUUAUAUUUUGAAAAAUCGUUGCUAGUGCCACGUCAAUCAGUAAGGGUAAGUUUUAUUAUUAUGACACCUUAGCUUGGUAAUAUGCUAGUAAGGUUGUGUAAUUAAAUUGAUUCUCACAAAAUAGAUAGAAAGUUUUGAUUCAAAUUCUAACUUGGUUGUUGAAUAAAUUAGUUUUCAAAUUAGAUGCUUUUCAUUUUAAAUGGAGAAUGGCUAAAAUUAUCACAGUAACUGACAUAAAAAUAUGUGUAUAGAAGACAAUCAAAAAUAUAACAAUAAAGAUAUUCUUUUUAGUCAAACUUCUAUUAAUUUAUAUAGUUUAACAAAUUGGUUAUUUCUAUCUAGAGCAUCCUAUUUAAACCAACAAUCGAAUCUUUUAUACUAUUAAACUUGGAAAUUAGAAUUUAAAUUCAACUGAUAAUGAAUACAUAUUGACUUACCUUACUAUAAAAUCUAUCAGUUUUAAUUAAUUUCAAGAUAUUUUUCCUAUUUGUUUUUCAUGAUUUGUUUGUAUGAGUCAUCUUCUUUAUUAUAAGUUUACUCUUGAUUUCUUUCUAUGUUUUUCAAUUUGUGGUACUUUUGAAAAAUAUCUACAAAUCUAAUUUGUUAUAUAUAAGAUAUUCAUGGAUGCAAUACAACCUCAUCACUGUUCUUUAUUUUAAAUUUUUCGCUUUUUGUUGCAUCAUCAAAAAUGGCUAAAACCACAAUUCUUGCUAUUUUCAUGGUUGUUCUUGUUUUAGGGACGGUGAUGGAGUCACAAGGACAAGAAAUGUGUACUGAUUAUUCUAAAGGAUCAGCACUUUGCGAAGCUAAACCAUGUAAUGAUCAGUGUGUACGCAAGUAUAAUGGACAUGGCAGGUGCUUAGACACAAUGUGCGUCUGCACUUAUAUUUGUAAAACUUAAUUUUUAUUUGUUACUAAUAAACUAUCAUCAAAUAUUUUUAAAUAAAAAUGUGUGAAAAAGAAUAUCGCAAUUUUCUUA